CAAAGGAUAGUUUAAGAUUAAAAUGAUAAUUUUGGGAAUUAUUGAUGGUAAGUUAGUUACUUUCCUUUGA
rnacentral:tRNA from 1 species